GUUUCUACAAGGUUUUACAGACAUUAAACAAAUUUGCGAUAGAGAUGAUAGCUAAAAUCGGGAUUUAUUGUGCCAAAAGAAAUAAGGGAAAGUACAAGAUUUUACCUGUACUUUAAAGUAAGUGAUGAAAUAAUAUGUAUUAUAAUUUUUGUUUUAUAUCAUCAUUAGUGUUCUCAUGAUUUCUUUUUAUUAUUUUGUUACUUUAUGAUUGUAUUGGAGCUAUUGGUAGUACCCAUAUUCCAGUAAUGGUAACUGGACGUUAUACAAGCAAUUAUAGAAAUCGUCAUGGAACAACUUUGCAGAAUUUCAUGGAACAACUUUGCAGAAUGUUUUGGCUGCUUGUAACUUUGAUUUGGAAUUUAUAUAUGUGCUUAGUGGUUGGGAAGGAUCAGCACAUGAUUCUAAGGUGUUGAGUGAUGUUUUGACAAGGAGAAAUGGACUUAAAGUGCCACGAGGUAUAACUUCAUUAUUUAUUUUUUCUUUUAUCUUAUUAUAUCAUAAUUUUACAUGUUAUAAGUUGUUAAUUUUACAAGUAUUUUAUAUUCAGGUAAAUAAAUUUUAGGGAGAUUUUGGAUUUCCAAAUCGACGUCAAUUCUUAAUUUCUUUUUGAGGUGUUCGUUAUCAUCUUCAAGAUUUUGCUGGUAAAGGUCGUGAUGUUGAAAAUACAAAAAAGUUGAUUAAUCUUCGUCAUGCAUUCUUGAGGAACCUAGUUGGGAAGAUAUUUAGUAUAUUUAAAUCUAGAUUCACAAUUUUCAAAAUAACUCCACCAUUUUCGUAUCGUACAUAAGUAGCGCUUGUAUUAGCUUAUAUACUAUUACACAACUUUCUUCAUAAAGGGUGUUGUUCCGACGAUUUUUCGAUUGAACUUGAUAAUGAGGAUUCUUCAUUUUCUUCAAUUAAUAAAGGGGAAGACUUUGGACCUUUGUUGAGAGUCAAGCACAAGGAGGGAGAAUGCCAAUGCCUGGAAGGCCACUUUAAUAGCUGAUAUGUGAAAUGAUGUUGGGAUUGUUUGAUAUAUAUAUAUAUUUUGGAAAGUGAAUUAGUGCUUCAGUUAGACAACAGCAACAAAGGCACGAGUGAAAACAGUUCGACGAUUGGUCUUUUCUUUUAGCGCUGCUUUCACAUGAUGCAAUAUCUAGGCUUCCUGGACUUGCUCUCUCGCCUUAUUAUUAUUAUUUUUUUGUGGAUCAUUGCUAAAAUACUAUUAAUGUUUUUGGUAUUUUGAUUAUUCGUCAAUCUAUUUGAUGUAACUUGAAUUUUUUUUUCUUUAAAGAAAAAAAUUUAUUGACAUGAAAAAUAUGA
rnacentral:lncRNA from 1 species